rnacentral:rRNA from 1 species
GUCCACGCUGUAAACGAUGAGAACUGGAUGUCAGGCAGCCUAGCUGUUUGGUAUCGAAGCUAACGCGUUAAGUUCUCCGCCUGGGAAGUACGGUCGCAAGAUUAAAACUCAAAUGAAUUGACGGGGGCCCGCACAAGCGGUGGAGCAUGUGGUUUAAUUCGAUGCAACGCGAAAAAACCUUACCUACUCUUGACAUCUUUGGAAUUCUGCUGAAAGGCGAAGUGCCGAAAGGAACCAAAAGACAGGUGCUGCAUGGCUGUCGU